ensembl:lncRNA
UUUGUAAAAAAAAAAAAAAAAAAAUGGAAAAAGAAUAAUUAUUUUGUGUGUUAAAGCUGAACUGAAACAAAAUAACGGUCAUAAGAACUAAGAAAGCUUUCCCCUCAGUGUUCUCAGAUUUGCACAAAUUGGUUGUUCUUAAGCAGUCAUCAACUAGAUGAAUACCAAGUGCUGAGGACAGAAGGGGAUAGUCAAAAAAAAGUUCUUGUUGAUGGUACUGUAGGCUACAUAAAUUUCAUCCUUCAUUGAAAAUAUAUUUUGCAGCUUUGCAACUUUAACACCAAUGUAAACAAAACUGUUAGCUUGGUCCGGUUUUAGAGUGUAAGAGCAUGUUUUUAUUUCUUUUACUGUGAAGGUCCAUGAAAAGAUUCAGAUAGAGGGCCAGCUGUAUGUAGUUUUCUGAGCAAUUAUGGGUUCUUUUUCUCUGCUGCAGCUUUGCAUUUUGGAGAACCUUCUUACAAUUUGACUUGGCGGACAUGUAGGUUUCCACAGGAGUCUCUUCAGCUUCUUCAGUGCCCUUGUAUUGCAUGCAAAUUCCAUGGGAACAUUUUUCUGGGCACCAACCAACCUAUCUGUCAGCACAGUGACUUGGGAUCAUGACAGCCUGCAAAUGAGAGCACCCAGCCGAAGCCACAAGUGGAGAAGCCACCUCAUGCUGCCAAGGUACACAAGGUGCAUGUAAUCAAUGGGGAAUCCAGAGACCAUGUCCAGGGAGGUUUCUUCCAGAUGUGAGGUGCCAUGGUGUUGAUCCGAAUCAGUUUUAUUUAGGAAACUCUCAAUAUUUCUAAAAUCAUGCCUUCUAGGGAAGGUCAUUCUGUUUUCCAGGUACAAGCUGUCCUGAAUGCACUUUUCGCAUCCAUGGUAGCCUGUGUGUCCUUUCACCUUUUUUUAAGAAGUGCACAUGCAGGUGCUUCACAAACCAUUGAGGCAGAAACGGGGCCAACACUUCCGCUGAUGCCGGAGUUUCAUCAGGACGAAGGUAACCUGUUUAACUAUGCAUGGCAAGAACUAGUGAAGGGGUGUCCAAUCCUGCUCCUGGAGGGCCAUUGUCCUGUACAGUGUAGCUCCUAAAUCUGAAACGGCUAAAAAAGAAACUUCCAAGCAGGUGUGGAGACAAGUUGAAACUAAAUUCUGUAGGACAGUGGCCCUCCAGGACUGAGUUUGGACACCCCUGAACUAGUGGCUCUACAUAAUGAUUUUUGCAUGUUACUAUUGCUUGUUUCAUUAGUUUAGUGCUUAUUAAACUUAAUCAGUGCACGCCUAUGUCUUCCAGGCUGCUGCCACAAGCAUCGGACCGAAG